rnacentral:rRNA from 1 species
UGGGGAAUAUUGGACAAUGGGCGCAAGCCUGAUCCAGCAAUGCCGCGUGUGUGAAGAAGGCCUUCGGGUUGUAAAGCACUUUUAUCAGGAGCGAAACGCUGUCGGCUAAUACCCGGCGGAACUGACGGUACCUGAGGAAUAAGCACCGGCUAACUUCGUGCCAGCAGCCGCGGUAAUACGAAGGGUGCAAGCGUUAAUCGGAAUUACUGGGCGUAAAGCGUGCGUAGGCGGUUUCUUAAGUCUGCUGUGAAAUCCCCGGGCUCAACCUGGGAAUGGCAGUGGAUACUGGGAGGCUAGAGUGUGUCAGAGGGUGGUGGAAUUCCCGGUGUAGCGGUGAAAUGCGUAGAGAUCGGGAGGAACAUCAGUGGCGAAGGCGGCCACCUGGGACAACACUGACGCUGAGGCACGAAAGCGUGGGGAGCAAACAGGAUUAGAUACCCUGGUAGUCCACGCCCUAAACGAUGCGAACUGGAUGUUGGUCUCAACUCGGAGAUCAGUGUCGAAGCUAACGCGUUAAGUUCGCCGCCUGGGGAGUACGGUCGCAAGACUGAAACUCAAAGGAAUUGACGGGGUCAUGAGCUGUUUCC